GGAGGUGGCAUGAGAACAUCACCUACGAAGCACUGAGGUGAAGCUUCCCUGAGAAGAAACAGCAAUGCUCAAGAAGUGGAGGCUGCUGGCAAAAUGUUAGCGAAGUGGUGCAUUAUCUUACUAUCCCUGUAAAACUCUUCCUCCCAGGAUACUGACCACAAAGCCUAGUGAAAAAGGAAACUUCUGAAAGACGUAACUCAACAAAAUGAGGGUAUUAACCAAGAAAGAGGAAAACAAGGACCCAGAAACUGGAAGUCCAACAAAUAUACUGGGGAAUCUUAUA